UACCGCGGCGGUGGAUAGAGUUCGCACGUCUCGGUGUUUUAUCCUAAAUCCCCGCUUCCUCCGCGCAGCCUGACCCGUCGCCGCCGACGUAGUUCGAGGACACUACGUAGAUAGAGACAAUUCGUAGGUCAGCUUCGCGUAUCGGGCGGACGUGGUAGGCGCUCUCUCUACCGUUCGAGCAGUGGGCCCUUCGCCUGCGUGCUCGUCUAGCUCGGUUUCCCAACCUUCUCCUCCUCCACCGCACAGACCCACCUCUGAUACGGACUACUCUCCCCUCCGCAGGUCUGAGCUCUGCUCCUACAACUGUACUCCCAGCUACGCAUAACGCUUCAACGGAAGCAUCCCUUCCUUUGUAGUUAAGUCCGGGCUUGGAGCCAUGGCUCGAUGAGGCUGUGGAGGGCGUGCGCUGUGGGAGUCGGGGGAGCGAGUGGUCGGGGCGCGGCGGUCGGGGCCGGUUGGGGUCGAGGCCACUGGGGGUCGGGGGCGCGAGAAUCGGGGCCGCUGGGGGUAGGGAUAUGGUAGCAGCUAGGGCGCUUGGUAGAGGCGAGGUCCCCGCCGAGUGGUGGAGGAGGGCGGCAGGCCGCGGAGCUCGGAGGGAGGAAGACGGCAGUGGGGGUUCGGGGGCACUAAAGGACCUCCACGAGGCGAGCGACGGCGAGCUUGAACUUGAACGACGAGGAAGUAGGGGCGUUCUGGCGAGGAGGACGGUAGGAGCGGGUGCUCGAGCAACACGACGUGUACGAGGUUUGUUGGAGAAGAGACCAAAGCUGAGGGACAUUGUGAACAUGGCUACGUAGAAGAAGCGAUAGUCAAGUUCACUAGUUUUACGGGUUUAUGCCUCCGUUCUAUUAACUAUAACACAGUUCUCUACAAGUAGCCGGUCUCCUAUUCCGGGUUCGGGACCGCCUAUGUCCUGAACAAGUCAGUAGAGUAUUUGGUCCGUUCACCGAAUUAAAACAAAUACAGAAGAUGUUCCUACCAGAGUAUGGGACGGACGAAGGGGAGGAGUGGAGAUGGAGUAACACCAAGCAACGAUUCUUUUUCUUGCUGGCGCAUGUCAAGGGCAACCAACGGAACGACGGGACCCCGCGCUCGAGUAGGUGGUCCCCACAACCGUCGACAGGUUCACCUCGCAACUGCGGUCAUGUUCAUCUUAGCACCCAACGCCGGUGGUAGAAGUGGUUCGCGGCGUGUAGGCAGGUUCAGCUCGUGUGUGUGUCCCUCUUGUGUGGUCGGGGAAACGAAACGUGUAACGAACCAAUACGUACU
rnacentral:rRNA from 1 species